GAAAAGAUUGCAGUAGAAAUCCCAAAAAGAUUUGGACAGAGGCAGAGCCUAUGUCACUACACCUUAAAGGAUAACAAGGUUUAUAUCAAGACUCAUGGUGAACAUGUAGGUUUUAGAAUUUUCAUGGAUGCCAUACUACUUUCUUUGACUAGAAAGGUAAGUAUAUAUUUUCUCUUAGCUGUAAUAGAUAAUUUAAGCCCAGAUUUUACAGGAUAAUUUUUCAAAAUACAAAUUAUACACUAUCAGGGUAUUCUCUUCUGGAGCCUUAUGAUAAUACUAUUCUGAAGCUUUCUGUUAUUUCAGGUACCUGCGUUUGUUUCCUAGGGCUGCCGUAACAAAGUGCU
rnacentral:lncRNA from 1 species